rnacentral:rRNA from 1 species
GAACGCUGGCGGCAUGCCUAACACAUGCAAGUCAAACGAGACCUUCGGGUCUAGUGGCGCACGGGUGCGUAACGCGUGGGAAUCUGCCCUUUGCUUCGGAAUAACAGUUAGAAAUGACUGCUAAUACCGGAUGAUGUCUUCGGACCAAAGAUUUAUCGGCAAAGGAUGAGCCCGCGUAGGAUUAGGUAGUUGGUGGGGUAAAGGCCUACCAAGCCGACGAUCCUUAGCUGGUCUGAGAGGAUGAUCAGCCACACUGGGACUGAGACACGGCCCAGACUCCUACGUGAGGCAGCAGUGGGAAUAUUGGACAAUGGGCGCAAGCCUGAUCCAGCAAUGCCGCGUGAGUGAUGAAGGCCUUCGGGUCGUAAAGCUCUUUUACCAGGGAUGAUAAUGACAGUACCUGGAGAAUAAGCUCCGGCUAACUCCGUG